rnacentral:rRNA from 1 species
CAGCAGCCACGGUAAUACGUAGGUGGCAAGCGUUGUCCGGAAUUAUUGGGCGUAAAGGGCUCGCAGGCGGUUUCUUAAGUCUGAUGUGAAAGCCCCCGGCUCAACCGGGGAGAGUCAUUGGAAACUGGGAAACUUGAGUGCAGAAGAGGAGAGUGGAAUUCCACGUGUAGCGGUGAAAUGCGUAGAGGUGUGGAGGAACACCAGUGGCGAAGGCGACUCUCUGGUCUGUAACUGACGCUGAGGAGCGAAAGCGUGGGGAGCGAACAGGAUUAGAUACCCGUGUAGUCCCUGUCUCUUAUAC